GCAGCAGGAGGAAGUAAACGUUUAGAACAAUUAUAAUUAUUUUUAUCAAGAACAGUAGAGGGGCAAAGUCAACUCCGAGAUAGCUGAGCUAGUAAUUAGCUCUAUGUUCAUAUCGAGACGUCACACUCGGCACCGAGUCCCAAUGCCAGUGCUCCCCAGUGUCUUCAGAGCCAGACGGGACCCCCGCACCAGCCAAGGUAGAGGGAGCCCCUACAACAAUCGAUCCCGUGGAAACCCCUGCACCAACAGAGCUACACAGAAUACCCAUAUCCAUCCGACUGAACAUAAUACCCACACCAACAGAGACGUGCAAACACAACACACUAAUCAAUCCAGUGGAAACCCCAGCACCAACCAUGCGAGACGGAAUCCCCAUAUCUUUACGACGGAACCUAAUCCCCACACCAACAGAGCCAGGCAAACCAUCCACACCAACCAAUCCAGUGGGAAUCCCUAAACCAACCAAUCUAGUUGGAACUCCUACAGCAAUUGAUCCAUCAGGAACCCCUGCACCAACUAUGCUAGACAGAAUCCCCACAUCCAUCAGCCUGAACAAAAUCACCACACUAACAGAGCCAGGCAAACACUCCACAUCAACCAAUCCUGUGGGAACCCCUUCACCAAUUAAUUCAGUGGGGACCCCUGCACCAGCCGAGCUUGAUGGACUCCCCACACCAACAGACCCAGGAAAACCCUCCACAUCAACCAAGCUAGACGGAAUCCCCACAUACAUCUGCCUGAAUGGAAUCCCCACAUCCAUCUGCAUGAACGGAACCCCCACCUCAAUACAGUCCAAAAUCCCCAGACCAAUACAACCUAAAAUUCCCCACACCAAUACAGCCAGGCAAACCCUCCACACAAAAUAAUCCAGUGGGAACCUCUAUACCAAUUGAUGAAACAUCUGACUCCUCUGAGCACCAGGACCAAGAAAUGCAAAGAAAAAUGUGGACAGAUGGAGAUCUAAUCGUUGCUGAAGACGGUGCAACCAUUCAAGCACAAAAGAAAAUCAAAACAACAGAAGAGUCGCUGAACAUGGAUACGGAUAGGCCCAUGGUGUCAAGACAUGCAGAGGUAGACACUGAAGUAUUAGAUCAAUUAGAAAAGAGCAGCAUUGUACAAGCAACCAACAAGCAAACUUUGUGGGCUAUAAACUGCUUUAAGGACUGGCUGGCAGAGAAACGGAUGAUAGUGGAUUUUUCAACCAUUGAGAAAUCUGAAAUGAAUGUACUCUUGUGAGAUUUUUACUGUUCUGUUCAAAGGGGUAAAGGUGGGGAGUAUUGCAUCCCAAGCUAUAUCGGAAUCCGGGCUGGCGUGAACAGAUUCAUUAACCUCCCUCCCCUUAGCAGAUCCUGGUGCUUGAUGAAGGACAGUGAAGAAACUAAAGAAACUCAGACGAGAGGGCAGGGACAAAACUACCCAUCCAAAGGUGAUUACAGCACAAGACCUUGAGAUUCUUCAAAACUCUACUGUGCUAAGCCCCUACACACCCAGAGGACUAGUGAACCAAGUGUGGUUUGAUAUCCAGUUACACUUUGGCCCCAGAGGAAAAGAGGGCAAUAGACGGCUAACGCCACAGUCGUUUGUAAUAAGGUACGAUGAAAACGGAGCAAAAUAUGCAACGCUGACUUCCAAAGAAGAAAGACUGAACCACAAAGAUGCAGAACUGGCAGAAUCGCUGUGGAAUCAUGUUUCAGAACCCUGAUAGUCCACUCUGUCCAGUCGCCUCCUUGGAGAAGUAUCUGAGCAAGAUCCCGCCAGAUGCCACCGUCCUCUACCUCCAUCCUAUUAAGAUGGUCAUCACCAGUGACAGCAUGUGCUAUAGCCAGGAGCCAAUGGGGUUUAACUACCUUUCAUCAAUGCUUCCCCCGACUGUGCCAGGUUUGCUUUUUUUCAAGCAAAUUUCGGAACAUUUUAAUAUUCGCUAAAUAGCUAAGUUGUACUCAUAACUCAACCUGUUGUUGCUUCUUGGCUCACUCACUCUCUUUUUCUCUCUCUAGGAGGCUGGUACAUUGGAAAAGUACACAAACAAUUGCUUCCGAACUUUGCGCGAGAUCAUGUCUGUCAGCAGACUGAUAGUUCCUUGAAGAGUGUCGUAGCUGAAUCAGAAUGAGUUAGGUAACAUAGAUAAAUAAGAUGUUUUAAUUAUUUUAUACUUGUCAUUAGAAUGUCUUCUUUUGGACUAUACUGUUGGCAGUUGCAUUUUCCUCUCUUCUCUAGGGAAAAGUCACUUGGGGCCCAGAGAGGGGAGAGGUCAGGCUUGUCUUUUACAUGUCUGGUAAUAGGCAGAAUAUCAGAAAGGGAAAAGUCAGGUUUAAACAUUGUCUUCAUAAUGAAUAUAUCUGUUAAACCAUGUGAAGGGCUCCACCAUGUCUGUACUCCAGUCACUCCCUCCUUUUUCCAUUGGGGGGAGGAGUAUGGUAAUGUCUGGAACCAUUGUAUGUCCCUCUGUUGCCCUUAUCUUGAUUUAGUAUAUGACCUAGAGGCUCACUACCCUCCGGGAGUUUGUCCAGGAGGGGUGUAUUUGAGAUGGGAGUAUCUAGAACUGACAAUUGAUAUAUGCCAUUGGAUGAGGUAAUGUUUUGGUAAUAUGAAGUUUUUUUAUUUAUUUUUAUUUCACCUUUAUUUAACCAGGUAGGCUAGUUGAGAACAAGUUCUCAUUUGCAACUGCGACCUGGCCAAGAUAAAGCAUAGCAGUGUGAACAGACAACACAGAGUUACACAUGGAGUAAACAAUUAACAAGUCAAUAACACAGUAGAAAAAAAAGGGGAGUCUAUAUACAUUGUGUGCAAAAGGCAUGAGGAGGUAGGCAAAUAAUUACAAUUUUGCAGAUUAAUAACACUGGAGUGAUAAAUGAUCAGAUGGUCAUGUACAGGUAGAGAUAUUGGUGUGCAAAAGAGCAGAAAAGUAAAUAAAUAAAAACAGUAUGGGGAUGAGGUAGGUAAAAAUGGGUGGGCUAUUUACCGAUAGACUAUGUACAGCUGCAGCGAUCGGUUAACUGCUCAGACAGCAGAUGUUUGAAGUUGGUGAGGGAGAUAAAAGUCUCCAACUUCAGUGAUUUUUGCAAUUCGUUCCAGUCACAGGCAGCAGAGAACUGGAACGAAAGGCGGCCAAAUGAGGUGUUGGCUUUAGGGAUGAUCAGUGAGAUACACCUGCUGGAGCGCGUGCUACGGAUGGGUGUUGCCAUCGUGACCAGUGAAUUGAGAUAAGGCGGAGCUUUACCUAGCAUGGACUUGUAGAUGACCUGGAGCCAGUGGGUCUGGCGACGAAUAUGUAGCGAGGGCCAGCUGACUAGAGCAUACAAGUCGCAGUGGUGGGUGGUAUAAGGUGCUUUAGUGACAAAACGGAUGGCACUGUGAUAAACUGCAUCCAGUUUGCUGAGUAGAGUGUUGGAAGCAAUUUUGUAGAUGACAUCGUCGAGGAUCGGUAGGAUAGUCAGUUUUACUAGGGUAAGUUUGGCGGCGUGAGUGAAGGAGGCUUUGUUGCGGAAUAGAAAGCCGAUUCUUGAUUUGAUUUUCGAUUGGAGAUGUUUGCUAUGAGUCUGGAAGGAGAGUUUACAGUCUAGCCGGACACCUAGGUACUUAUAGAUGUCCACAUAUUCAAGGUCGGAACCAUCCAGGGUGGUGAUGCUGGUCAGGCAUGCGGGUGCAGGCAGCGAACGGUUACCCAAGAAUGAGAUUAGAACCUUGUCUUAGAGAGCAAACUGAACGAUAAUUUAUAGUUAAUGCUAUCUGGCUAUGGGAUACUCCUCUCUCUCAAGUAUAAGGCCUUUGUGCUGUUUUCCUAUUAUCUGUGGUUCGUCAUGUAAGUGAGAGAGGUGGAUCUUUGCUAUAAAAGAUCUGUUGCCAUUAUGUUGACACUCUCAGAAUUCAUUUAUAGACACUGAAUUGAUCGGAGAGUCACAGGGCUAUGGUGAAGCUCAUAUUAUUAAAAGAUUAAGUUUAAAGUAUAACUCUGACUUGUGUGUGGUUUGUAAACUCUCCUUUCACUUAGUAAUACAGGAAAUUACCAUGACAAGAGUUAUUGAAAACCAUCAAUGGACAACAGAAAGAGAUGUCAAAUAGGCACAAUGUGAGUCAAGGCAGUGACAUGAUUCAGUUUUACUUCCUACCAGCAACAUUCUCUCGGUCUUAUACACAAAUAGAGAGCUUGACAAGAUGCAUACAGUCCUCACCAUAUGUAUUUACAUUUUUUUUUGUGGUGACAGUCCAGAAUGUAACCUUUUUAAAUUGAGGUUAUAUAUUAGGUAUAGAUUUUACUUUGCGCUGUGACUUUACUAUUCAGAAUUGUAAGCCUUUUUAAGCUUUCUUUUCACCAACAAGUUGUACACUACUGGAAACUGUUUAACCAUAAUCAUCCAUUUAGAAAAUGUAAAGUUUAGGGGGAAAAAUCUCAGCACUAUGAAGAAUGGAUGGAUAAGAGGAUAUAGUUGCUUCUGAUGGAUAAUUGGGGGAAUUCAUUUUUGUAUGAGAAUUUCUCAAAUAUAAUUUUCUUUGUGGCUGGAAGCAAUUUGAGGUUAAACUUCCUAGAUCUGUUUUUAAACUGGUAAAAAUAACAUGUCUACACCACUUUGUAUACCAUCUCUUGUGGCAAAUCAUCAUACUUACAGCUGUUUAACAAAUUAAUUGUACCCUUCACAUAGAAAUGAUAUUUCCCUAAUUUACAAGAUCUAUUGUUUAAAGGUUAUGUACCAACUACCUAAAAUUACCUGUACCCCCUUAAAUUCAAGAUGUUGAACUAUAUAUCUCUUUCUCAGAAAGAAAUAGAACUAACAAAACAAUUGUGCAAGCUAUAAGAGUGCUUGAGAGUUAAGGUGGUUACAAGAAGCAUGGAAAACCAGAUGAGCCAAACAUAUGUUGUGGGAAGGAACAAAAGGCCCAAGAGAAGUUGUAAACCAUAGGGAACCAGGAAUAAGAACGCAUCGAGAGAACAUAUGGAGUGAAACAACCUCGUCUGAGGGCAUUUGAUGUAGAAUAUGAGUAAUAACAAGUACAUGUAUUCUAAAGUGUGUAGGCAUAGUGCACUUGAUUACAUUAUAAUUUUGGUCUACAUGCAUAAUUGUAGCCUACUUUUCCUUCCCGGCACUAGGGCUGCUGAAUCAAGUGCACCUAUGCUUAACAGUGAGAAACAAAUGUAAAAACAAUAGGAAAGCAAGGCUUUAUUAGUUUAUAAACCAUAUCUUUGGGCUUAUUGUUUUUUACGGAAAUGCUUGGAGAUCACGAUAGACCUGUUGGUAACUGCUGUUGUAGCCUUUUACUUACGAAGCAUAUCGGAGCAUAAAUUGAAAUAACUUUCCCCACUACAGAUUGACCGUUUAUUAGUAAGGAAGGGCAAAGGCCUGCAAAUGACUAAACCUGAUAUUUGUAUACUGGUGAGAAGAAUCUGUAGUAAAACUCAGACUCGAGAAUAAACUGUCUCACAAAAUGAAUAAUUAGACAUUCGAAACCACCUGGAACCAUUUACAAACUUAUUGGAAUGACCACACAAACUGAAAUUGUCAUUCAUGGGCUGCGGGCAACCGUAAUUUGAAAACCACAAAUCAGAAUGUAUAUAUUGCAGUCGAUGACCACCCUGCCACUUGCUACUGGGAGGAGAAUAUAACCAUUAUAAAAGAUGGAACUGUGACUGCAAUGAUUGACCUAACAUGUCAAAGUUGUUUGUAGAAAAAUGUUUUGUUUAUGAGAAUGAAUGAAAUACCUAGUGAUGAGUUAGGCAGUCAUAGGUAUACUGAGCCCAUAAAGCAUGGAUUAACUUUCAUCACUGAAGAAUCAUUUGAUAAAAUGGCAGUAUAUUGCAAAGUAGACUAGGAUUAUGCGUGUAGGCCAACAUUAUAAUGUAAAAUCUGAAUGGCUAUGUCUAUAGACUUUAGGAUACUUGUUUUACUGAUUACUAUACAAUACUGGUCCGUGCUUGCCAGCAAUGGAGUGUCAGGAAAUGUAGAAACUGAAAUUCCAAAUUCAAGUGUUGUAGUUAUCCAUCUGACUAGCUUUUAGCUUUUGCACUCAACAUGGAAAUAUAAUUGUUGUAUUGAAGAAUUACAAGGCUUAUCAAGAGACUACGCAUGAUUAUUCAUGUAACACACCGACUGUGUUAUAUUAUAAUCACUAGGCCUAUGCAUUGCAUGCAGAAUGUUAAAGAAUGUGAUGAUGAGUUACUAUGAAUGUCGUCAGAUCGAUAUAAGCAUUAAUUCAUUACAUAAAGGAUAUAUCUCUGUUCACUUCCUGCAAAAGAAAGUUUGACACUAGACAACAUAUUUUGUUUUAUUUUGUAUUAUUAUAUCAUUUACAAAAAUAAACAUUUGAAUAUUAAAACUUAUCUACUUGCAGAGAAACAGCUCAACAUUUACAUUACUUUCAGUCAUGUAACAGACUCCCAUCAAUAGCGACCCACAGAAGCAACCAGCUUCAACACCCUGCUCAAGAGCAUGUCGACA
ensembl:lncRNA